GAUGAACGCUAGCGGGAGGCCUAACACAUGCAAGCCGAGCGGUAUUGUUUCUUCGGAAAUGAGAGAGCGGCGUACGGGUGCGUAACACGUGUGCAACCUGCCUUUAUCUGGGGGAUAGCCUUUCGAAAGGAAGAUUAAUACUCCAUAAUAUAUUGAACGGCAUCGUUUAAUAUUGAAAGCUCCGGCGGAUAGAGAUGGGCACGCGCAAGAUUAGCUAGUUGGUGAGGUAACGGCUCACCAAGGCGAUGAUCUUUAGGGGGCCGGAGAGGGUGAUCCCCCACACUGGUACUGAGACACGGACCAGACUCCUACGGGAGGCAGCAGUGAGGAAUAUUGGUCAAUGGGUGCAAGCCUGAACCAGCCAUCCCGCGUGAAGGACGACUGCCCUAUGGGUUGUAAACUUCUUUUGUAUAGGGAUAAACCUACCCUCGAGAGGGUAGCUGAAGGUACUAUACGAAUAAGCACCGGCUAACUCCGUG
rnacentral:rRNA from 1 species